UACGUAGGUGUCGAGCGUUGUCCGGAUUUAUUGGGCGUAAAGCGCACGUAGGCGGCUUUGCAAGUUAGAGGUGAAAGCCCGGGGCUCAACUCCGGAAUUGCCUUUAAAACUGCAUCGCUAGAAUUGUGGAGAGGUAAGUGGAAUUCCCGGUGUAGCGGUGAAAUGCGCAGAUAUCGGGAAGAACACCCGUGGCGAAGGCGGCACUCUGGGACGGUACUGACGCUGAGACGCGAAAGCGUGGGGAGCGAACAGG
rnacentral:rRNA from 1 species